rnacentral:rRNA from 1 species
UACGUAGGGGGCAAGCGUUGUCCGGAUUUAUUGGGCGUAAAGAGCGUGUAGGCGGCCAAGUAAGUCUGCUGUGAAAACUCGAGGCUUAACCUCGAGCUGUCGGCGGAAACUAUUUGGCUAGAGUCCGGAAGAGGAGAAUGGAAUUCCUGGUGUAGCGGUGAAAUGCGCAGAUAUCAGGAAGAACACCUAUGGCGAAGGCAGCACUCUGGGACGGUACUGACGCUGAGACGCGAAAGCGUGGGGAGCGAACAGG